CUCUUUGGGUGGCGAGUGGCGGACGGGUGAGUAAUGUCUGGGAAACUGCCCGAUGGAGGGGGAUAACUACUGGAAACGGUAGCUAAUACCGCAUAACGUCGCAAGACCAAAGUGGGGGACCUUCGGGCCUCACACCAUCGGAUGUGCCCAGAUGGGAUUAGCUAGUAGGUGGGGUAAUGGCUCACCUAGGCGACGAUCCCUAGCUGGUCUGAGAGGAUGACCAGCCACACUGGAACUGAGACACGGUCCAGACUCCUACGGGAGGCAGCAGUGGGGAAUAUUGCACAAUGGGCGCAAGCCUGAUGCAGCCAUGCCGCGUGUAUGAAGAAGGCCUUCGGGUUGUAAAGUACUUUCAGCGGGGAGGAAGGCGGUGAGGUUAAUAACCUCGCCGAUUGACGUUACCCGCAGAAGAAGCACCGGCUAACUCCGUGCCAGCAGCCGCGGUAAUACGGAGGGUGCAAGCGUUAAUCGGAAUUACUGGGCGUAAAGCGCACGCAGGCGGUCUGUUAAGUCAGAUGUGAAAUCCCCGGGCUUAACCUGGGAACUGCAUUUGAAACUGGCAGGCUUGAGUCUCGUAGAGGGGGGUAGAAUUCCAGGUGU
rnacentral:rRNA from 1 species